GAUGAAUGGAAGGGCGUUGUGAGCCUGUGAUCGAUGCGAUCAGAGUUCUAUUACGUUUUAAAGAGACAGCACCCGUGACGUUUAAGGUAUUUCACCCCAAUAAUAAAAUAAUAAUACCAGAAGCUGAAGAGUAAUCAGGACCUCAGGAUUACUCAUAGAGACUGGUUUUCACCGUGUUAGCCAGGAUGGUCUCAAUCUCCUAACCUCGUGAUCCGCCUGUCUCGGCCUCCCAAAGUGCUGGGAUUACAGGUGUGAGCCACCGCACCUGGCCCAGAAUCCACUCUCUUAAUC